rnacentral:rRNA from 1 species
UACGGAGGUUCCAAGCAUUGUUCGGAAUUACUGGGCGUAAAGGGAGCGCAGGCGGACAGGUCAGUCUAAAGUGGAAAUCCGGGGCUUAACCUCGGACUUGCUUCGGAUACUGCCUGUCUUGAGUACGUGAUAGGAAGAUGGAAUUCAGGGUGUAGCGGUGAAAUGCACAGAUAUCCUGAGGAACACCAGUGGCGAAAGCGGUCUUCUGGCACGAAACUGACGCUGAGGCUCGAAAGCGCGGGUAGCAAACGGGAUUAGAUACCCCGGUAGU